GCCCUACGGGAGGCAGCAGUGGGGAAUAUUGCACAAUGGGCGAAAGCCUGAUGCAGCAACGCCGCGUGAACGAAGAAGGCUCUUGGGUCGUAAAGUUCUGUUCUGAGGGAAGAAGAAAGUGACGGUACCUCAGGAGAAAGCCCCGGCUAACUACGUGCCAGCAGCCGCGGUAAUACGUAGGGGGCAAGCGUUAUCCGGAUUUACUGGGUGUAAAGGGAGCGUAGACGGCAUGGCAAGUCUGAUGUGAAAACCCGGGGCUCAACCCCGGGACUGCAUUGGAAACUGUCAGGCUAGAGUGUCGGAGG
rnacentral:rRNA from 1 species